AGCAGCCGCGGUAAUUCCAGCUCCAAUAGCGUAUAUUAAAGUUGUUGCAGUUAAAAAGCUCGUAGUUGAAUUUUAGGCCUGGCCGGGCGGUCCGUCUUUGGCGAGUACUGUCCUGUGUCGGGUCAUCCUUCUGGUGAACCAGUAUGUCCUUUAUUGGGUGUGCCGGGGAGCCAGGACCAUUACCUUGAAAAAAUUAGAGUGUUUAAAGCGGGCAUUUGCUUGAAUAGAUUAGCAUGGAAUAAUAGAAUAGGACGUUUGUGGUUCUAUUUUGUUGGUUUCUAGGACCACCGUAAUGAUUAAUAGGGAUAGUUGGGGGCAUUAGUAUUCAAUUGUCAGAGGUGAAAUUCUUGGAUUUAUUGAAGACUAACUAUUGCGAAAGCAUUUGCCAAGGAUGUUUUCAUUAAUCAAGAACGAAAGUUAGGGGAUCGAAGACGAUCAGAUACCGUCGUAGUCUUAACCAUAAACUAUGCCGACUAGGAAUCGGGCGACGUUAUUUUCAUGACUCGCUCGGCGCCUUAUGG
rnacentral:rRNA from 1 species